AACGAACGCUGGCGGCAGGCCUAACACAUGCAAGUCGAGCGAGGACUUCGGUUCUAGCGGCGGACGGGUGAGUAACGCGUGGGAAUGUGCCCUUCUCUACGGAAUAGCCCUGGGAAACUGGGAGUAAUACCGUAUACGCCCUAUUGGGGAAAGAUUUAUCGGAGAAGGAUCAGCCCGCGUUGGAUUAGGUAGUUGGUGGGGUAAUGGCCUACCAAGCCGACGAUCCAUAGCUGGUUUGAGAGGAUGAUCAGCCACACUGGGACUGAGACACGGCCCAGACUCCUACGGGAGGCAGCAGUGGGGAAUCUUAGACAAUGGGGGCAACCCUGAUCUAGCCAUGCCGCGUGAGUGAUGAAGGCCUCAGGGUUGUAAAGCUCUUUCAGCUGGGAAGAUAAUGACGGUACCAGCAGAAGAAGCCCCGGCUAACUCCGUG
rnacentral:rRNA from 1 species